UAGCCGAAGUCUGAGUUACGAGGGCAAGCCUGAGAGACGGCGAAAUUAUGCCGGACUGGUUUAUAGCAAUUAAAAGCUAAGCCGCUUUCCACGGCGUGGCACGAGUACGGGAAUAAGCUUCAUUACAACCGCUGUAUUUCAAACCGUGGCCCUGCAAGGAUAGGGAGAAGACACUUCAACGUAUUUUUAAUCCUCUCUGUUAGCCGCGACCGCGCUCACUCGACACGAGUCUCCGCCAGGAAUAGCGCUGUAUUCCGCGGAUCGUCGACGGAUCAACUUGUGGUUGCGAGAAACGAGUAGAAAGGAAAGUGUCGAUGCACUGUUUCAGACUCUUAUGGAGGACUUGUGGAACCUCGAAAGUAAUUCGUUUUGAAUUGUUAUAUUAGAUUGAAUUGGAGAAAGAUAAAAAAUUGUACGCAUUCGAUCGUGCCAAAAUGGAAGUUCAUUGAUCAUUCUCUGUUUCUUCUGUUCCACUUAAUUCGAUGGAACCUCCAAUUAUUACUUCAAACAGAAAAUUUCACUGAAAUAUGCGGAGGAGAAAUUCAUUCGAGGGUGAACACCGUUCGUCGUGCAAUGGAGGAAUGUAAACCACGUAAAUGAUUCGAAAUUGAAAAUGGUAUCGCGAUAAAAUUGUUCACCGGCGUGUGGAGAAAGGAAAUAAAGGGAAGUUUCAUUUCAGCUACGCACAAAAAUCAAUAUUAAAAUAAAGGUGAUGGAAAAUUUCUCGUCCAGUGUAUUUUUACACAGAGUGGCUCGUAAUUCAUAUUACAAAUAGCGUCAGAAGAAUUUUAUGACUCGAAAUAAGACGAAAAUCAAGAAUAACGAAAUUACGUGAGAGAAUUCGUUUUCGAACAAAUCAAAAAGUUUGAUGAUUUUUC